GACGUAGGAUGCAAGCGUUGUCCGGAUUUAUUGGGCGUAAAGAGUUCGUAGGUGGUUCGUUAAGUCUGAUGUUAAAGACCGGGGCUCAACUUCGGGACUGCAUUGGAUACUGGCGGACUUGAGUGUGGUAGAGGCAAUCGGAAUUCCUGGUGUAGCGGUGAAAUGCGCAGAUAUCAGGAGGAACACCGGUGGCGAAGGCGGGUCUCUGGGCCGAUACUGACGCUGAGGAGCGAAAGCGUGGGGAGCGAACAGG
rnacentral:rRNA from 1 species